AAAAACGCAGAAAAAAAAAUCAGUCUCUCUUUAUCUGAGAGACUGAAAUACAGCUGCAAACAUUCAACAAACACCCCUGCACCUCAUAUAAGCCAUCUUCUCUUUCCCAGAAAUCCGCCUAACACGGCAGCCAUUUUGGUGGUCGAAGCACCCUGGCACUCAAGAAGUUCCACCAAGAAGAAGACAGAGAGGACUUUCUCCCAGGCCAGACCUCCAAUCGUCUCCCUAGGGACUAGGCAGCCCACCCCGAACCUCGUCCUGAGUGUGGUUCACCCACCAAGGAGCCGAGGGAUGUCCCCUUCUCUGUUGCAGCCAAUGAAUGGCCUGGAUUUUCUUUGCAGGUGUGAGCUAACCUUUCUUACCACAACAAUGACAAAGAUGACAAGCAACCAGUAUACCACGGAUGACAGCAUAAAUCCACAGGACGGGCCCAAACCAUGUUGCUCAACUGUAUUUUAUUGCUGUGUUUGAAAUGCACCAAUUUCCAGUGCAGUGAGUCACUGCCCUGAGAAACUUUAUUAUCCACAUAGUCUUUAAGAGCCUGUCUCGGUAUGGGCUGUUAUUUUAUUGUUACAUUUUUAUGUUCUCUGAACAUUCCCUAGUAAAAAAAUAUUGAAACAACGUCUUCUUUUCCUUUGCCUUCGGUUGUCCCCUCAUAUAUAUUGCAUUUUUAAUGUGUGAGAAAAGUAAAGACCAAAACAACAAAAGAAACAGCGUGGCGUGACUGGGAGGUUCGCUGUAGUAAAUCAGCUGCAACAUGAGAUCCGGUUUAUCUUCAGUAUUUCUGACGGUGAGGGGAUGUUACAUCAUUACAUCUUAGAGGGGGAGGGGUGAGGGGGUGAGGGGAAGAGGGUGAGGGCUAGAGGGUGAGGGGGGAGGGUGAGGGGUCAAGGGUGAGGGGUGAGGGGUAGAAGGUGUGGGGGAGAGGGGGAGGGGUGAGGGCUAGAAGGUGAGGGGGAGGGGUAGAGGGUGAGGGGUGAGGCGGGGAGGGGUGAGGGAUAGAGGGUGAGAGGUGAGGGGUAGAGGGUGAGGGGGUGAGGAGGGGAGGGGUGAGGGGUAGAAGGUGAGGGGUGAGGGGUAGGGGGAGAGCGGUAGGGGUGAGGGGGGGAGGGGAGAGGGGUAGAGGGGGAGGGGUGAGCGGUAGAAGGUGAGGGGUAGAGAGUCAGGGGUAAAGGGUGAGGGGUGAGGGGUAGAGGGUGAGGGGGGGAGGGGAGAGGGGUAGAGGGGGAGGGGUGAGGGGGGGAGGGGAAGAGGGUGAGGGCUAGAGGGUGAGGGGGGGAGGGUGAGGGGUAAAGGGUGAGCGGUAGAAGGUGUGGGGGAGAGGGGGAGGGGUGAGGGCUAGAAGGUGAGGGGUAGAGGGUGAGGGGUGAGGGGUGAGGGGUAGAGGGUGAGGGGUAGGGGUGAGGCGGGGAGGGGGAGAGGGUGAGGGGUAGAGGGUGAGGGGUAGAGGGUGGGGGGUAGAGGGUGAGGGGUUGUUUAGGCCCAUCAGAAGCCCCCAGACGACCCCUUGCUCGACCACGAGCCCCGAUCCCCAGCGGAUCGGUUUCUCCCUUCCUCUCCACUGAUUACAGACUACAGACUAUACAGAGAGCCAUUGCUCUCUCUCCCUCUCCCUCUCUCUCUCUCUCUCUCUCUCUCUCUCUCUCUCCCUCUCUCUCUCUCUCUCUCCCUCUCUCUCUCUCUCUCUCUCUCUCUCUCCUCUCUCUCUCUCUCUCUCCCUCUCUCUCUCUCUCUCUCUCUCUCUCUCUCUCUCUCUCUCUCUCUCUCUCUCCCUCUCCCUCGCCAAAGUUUAUAUUUGUGAGUGAUAUUCAAAAACAUACUUCUCAGGCACUUUCUAUGGAAAGAAUGUAA
ensembl:lncRNA